AUUGAACGCUGGCGGCAUGCUUUACACAUGCAAGUCGAACGGCAGCACGGGUGCUUGCACCUGGUGGCGAGUGGCGAACGGGUGAGUAAUGCACCGGAACGUAUCCAAUAAUGGGGGAUAACGCACCGAAAGGUGUGCUAAUACCGCAUACGCCCUGAGGGGGAAAGCGGGGGACCGUAAGGCCUCGCGUUACUGGAGCGGCCGAUGCCGGAUUAGCUAGUUGGUGAGGUAAAGGCUCACCAAGGCGACGAUCCGUAGCUGGUCUGAGAGGACGACCAGCCACACUGGGGCUGAGACACGGCCCAGACUCCUACGGGAGGCAGCAGUGGGGAAUUUUGGACAAUGGGCGCAAGCCUGAUCCAGCCAUGCCGCGUGAGUGAAGAAGGCCUUCGGGUUGUAAAGCUCUUUCGCAAGGAAAGAAAACUCAUCUCCUAAUACGGGGUGAGGAUGACGGUACCUUGAUAAGAAGCACCGGCUAACUACGUGCCAGCCGCCGCGGUAA
rnacentral:rRNA from 1 species